rnacentral:rRNA from 1 species
CUGCAACUCGACUACAUGAAGCUGGAAUCGCUAGUAAUCGCGGAUCAGAAUGCCGCGGUGAAUACGUUCCCGGGUCUUGUACACACCGCCCGUCACACCAUGGGAGUCGGUAACGCCCGAAGUCAGUGACCCAACCUUAAAGGAGGGAGCUGCCGAAGGCGGGACUGGUAACUGGGGUGAAGUCGUAACAAGGUACC